AUGGCCUGGACUCCUCUCCUCUUCCUGCUCCUCUCUCACUGCACAGGUUCCCUCUCCCAGUCUGUGGUGACUCAGCCGGCCUCCCUCUCAGCAUCUCCUGGAGCAUCAGCCAGACUCACCUGCACCUUGCGCAGUGGCAUCAAUGUUGGUAGCUACAGGAUAUCCUGGUACCAGCAGAAGCCAGGGAGUCCUCCCCGGUAUCUCCUGAACUACUACUCAGACUCAGAUAAGGGCCAGAGCUCUGGAGUCCCCAGCCGCUUCUCUGGAUCCAAAGAUGCUUCGACCAAUGCAGGGAUUUUACUCAUCUCCGGGCUCCAGUCUGAGGAUGAGGCUAUUACUGUAUGA